GAUGAACGCUAGCGGCAGGCUUAACACAUGCAAGUCGAGGGGUAACAUAGAAAAGCUUGCUUUUCUGAUGACGACCGGCGCGCGGGUGCGUAACGCGUAUACAAUCUGCCUUAUACUGGGGUAUAGCCUUUAGAAAUGAAGAUUAAUCCCCCAUAGUCUCUUUAAAUGGCAUCAUUUUUAGAGUAAAGGUUACGGUAUAAGAUGAGUAUGCGUUCUAUUAGUUUGUUGGUGAGGUAACGGCUCACCAAGACUGCGAUAGAUAGGGGCCCUGAGAGGGGGAUCCCCCACACUGGUACUGAGACACGGACCAGACUCCUACGGGAGGCAGCAGUGAGGAAUAUUGGACAAUGGAGGCAACUCUGAUCCAGCCAUGCCGCGUGCAGGAAGACUGCCCUAUGGGUUGUAAACUGCUUUUAUACAGGAAGAAACCUUGGUACGUGUACCAAGCUGACGGUACUGUAAGAAUAAGGAUCGGCUAACUCCGUG
rnacentral:rRNA from 1 species